rnacentral:lncRNA from 1 species
ACUUGCAGCUCGGGUAUGGUACCCAUGCACAUGACCACGGAGGAGACAAGGAUGAGCAGGAAGGAUAGAACCGCCACCACCCGCGCAGGGCAUGAAGACUCCGGCUUCUCUAGGAACUUCCAGACACACUUCUGGCAGCGGCGCCAGCGGCCCUCAGCAGCGUCAACACCCAGGUCGUCCAAGAUGAGCUGCACCCUGCGCGCGAUCUCCUCCAGCUCCUCGCGCUUCUCGCUCAGAUGGCUCUUGCAACAGUCAUCCAGGAAUUUGAGGUCCACCUUCCAGAAGUCCAUCUCGUUCUUGAAGCAGAUGGGGCAAAUGCCCUUCUUCAUGUGGACCUCCCCGAAAUAGUAUACCUCAAUGACACACUUGAACGCGUCUGGGUCCCGGUCAAAGUAGAAUUCGCGCUUGCCCGGAUCGUAAUCGUCGCACAGAGAGAAGAUGGUGUCGUAGCCCCCCGCCAAACAGUUGAUGAGCUCUGCCAACCGGGUCUCAGGGUACUGGCUGAGCAGGUCUCCGUAGAGCACCUGCCGCACGCCCCCCACAUUUACCACGAUCUCAAUGUCUUCGCCUGCCACGGAGUCCUGGCUGCCUGGCUCCGGGAGGCUUUGCUCAGCAGAUGCGUCCAUGCUCCCCGCGGGUUCGCUUGCAAGCCCCGGUUCCAUGAGCCCUGCCGCAGCCGCUGCCAAUGCGAGGCCCUAGGGGACAACAACCACCUGCCGGAAAAGGCACUCACAGCGGGCGGAGGCAGGCUGGGGCGCGCCGCAAGGGAGCCAUGCACCCAGUGGCGGGGCUGCACGCGGGCAUCCAGGAGCGCUGGCGGGGGACUCUGCGGCCGGUGGCCUCCGGUGACACUCACCCACGGGCUCCUUCAGCUCGGUCCGGGACAGGACUUGGUUCUUCUCGUAGGCAGCGUCCUCCUUCCCCGGUUGAGCGGCAGAGGUGGGUCAGCCCGAGAGCUGCGCGAUCCGGGCUGUAUAGAGAGCUAACUUGGAGUGGCUUUGCCGGAGCGGGUCCGAAACACAAUAGGAAUUCCAGCCUGACGUCAAACGCUUUGCUACUGUACCCUCUUCUGGUGAGAUUUCGCACCGCACGCGCUGCAGCUGCCCAGGAAUGAGUUAACCCUUGGGCAGACCUGCACAGCUGCCGCCGCCCUGCCACCGGCGCCACCCGCUGAGUCUGAGGGCUCAGAGGUUAAGAUCCAGAGCUUUAAGGCCAGCCCGGCUCAGGCUGCCAAAUCCCUCCUGCCCAGCUAGGUGAGAGAGGAAAGAGAACCUCUGUUGCUUACCAAGUCCCUCAAGGGGCAGCCGCGCACUCCUUGGGCACACUCCUUCUGUCCUAGGCUUCGGUAGGCCCUGGAUAAGUCCUUGACACUCCUAAGCACUGCCCUGCUGGUGGUGGUGUGACCUUGUACCACAACUUGUCCCAGCCUUCACAAUAAAGAGGAAAUUGCUUCAGGUCACAAGAUGAAAAGGGAGGAAAGCUUAGCCAUCACUUCACCCAGGGUUCUCCUGCUAGCCUAGCUGCUAGCUUCCAGCAGGACAACAUCAUCACCAUUAGCUCCCAGAGCCUUGGAUUCCUAUGACCCCUGUGCCCAUAACCCCCUCUACUUUGAGAGAAAUCAGUUCUUCCAGUUGGAUGCCCCUAUAUUCCCUCUCAUCUUUCCUGAGGCAGAGAACAUCUCUGGUUCAAAUCCAGGUUCUUGACCAUCGGGGUUAUCAACCCUGGAUCUAGCUAUGGCCUGGAAUUGGAUUUAAAAACAUAAGCUGGGCCGAGAUGUAGCUCAGUUUGGUAGAGUCCUUUGCCUAGCAUGCAUAAGGCCCUGUGUUUGUUAUCCCGUACCACAUAAACUGGGCUUGGGAUGUGGGGGUGGGGGUGAGGUGGGGGUGAGGUCUAUGAUCCAAGCUUUCCCUCACUUAGGAAAGGAGGGCAAGGUCAGAAGUUCAAGGUUAUCCUCUAGAGGUGGAAGCUAUCCUAGGCUAGGGAUUCUCUCAUACACACACACACUGACACACACACACACACACACACACACACACACACACACACACAGUUGGAGAGAUGAACAGGAAGAGCCAGUAAGAGGGGUGAAUAGGACAGUUAAGCUAUUCUGUUUGAUUGUGUGGUGGCAAACAUGUCAUUCACACUUGUCAAAACCCACAGGAUGCACAAAAGCAAGAGGGGGUCCUAAAGGACACUUUGGCCAUGUGGGUAAUGACAGAUGCUCCAUUCCUGGAAUUUCCUCCACUGUGACAAGCAUUUCACUCCUACAGGGAUGUUGACAGUAGAGGGAGGGGGUACUGAUUGUGGGGGAAGCUGUAGAGACAAGGGUCUGGGAAACUGCAUUUUUCUGUACAAAUUUUCUGUGACUCUAAAACUGCUUGUUGAAAAAGACCAUUAAAAUGUGUUCU